rnacentral:tRNA from 1 species
GCGGGCGUGGCGGAAUUGGUAGACGCGCUGGAUUUAGGUUCCAGUGGAGAAAUCCGUGGGGGUUCAAGUCCCUUCGCCCGCACCA